rnacentral:rRNA from 1 species
UACAGAGGUGGCAAGCGUUGUUCGGAAUUACUGGGCGUAAAGCGUGCGCAGGCGGUUCGUGAUGUCUGAUGUGAAAGCCCCGGGCUCAACCUGGGAACUGCAUUGGAAACUAGCGGGCUGGAGUGUGGCAGAGGGGGGUGGAAUUCCACGUGUAGCAGUGAAAUGCGUAGAGAUGUGGAGGAACACCGAUGGCGAAGGCAGCCCCCUGGGCUAACACUGACGCUCAUGCACGAAAGCGUGGGGAGCAAACAGG